rnacentral:lncRNA from 1 species
AAAAACCCUUUAGGAAAAGUGCAAUGGAAAAGUUUAAUCACCAUAAAAAUACAUACCUACUGGAAUGACAAAAUUAAUAAAGACUCUGAGAGAUACUCCAGCUUAAAAUACAUAUCUGGUGAAUAUAAGACAAAAAGAAUACAUCCAAUACUUACAACAAAUACAUCAAAUUGUAGAGACAUCAUCAAAUUACCCAUUAGGACCAGAUUUGCAACUGGCAAUUACAUCUUGCAGACAAAUAGAGCAAAAUUUAAUCAAAAUGAGGUAUCUGCCAUCUGCAGAGUCUGUGGCAAAGAGGAUGA